rnacentral:rRNA from 1 species
UACACAUGCAGUCGAGCGGAACGAGUUAUCUGAACCUUCGGGGGACGAUAACGGCGUCGAGCGGCGGACGGGUGAGUAAUGCCUAGGAAAUUGCCCUGAUGUGGGGGAUAACCAUUGGAAACGAUGGCUAAUACCGCAUGAUGCCUACGGGCCAAAGAGGGGGACCUUCGGGCCUCUCGCGUCAGGAUAUGCCUAGGUGGGAUUAGCUAGUUGGUGAGGUAAGGGCUCACCAAGGCGACGAUCCCUAGCUGGUCUGAGAGGAUGAUCAGCCACACUGGAACUGAGACACGGUCCAGACUCCUACGGGAGGCAGCAGUGGGGAAUAUUGCACAAUGGGCGCAAGCCUGAUGCAGCCAUGCCGCGUGUGUGAAGAAGGCCUUCGGGUUGUAAAGCACUUUCAGUCGUGAGGAAGGUGGUGUAGUUAAUAGCUGCAUUAUUUGACGUUAGCGACAGAAGAAGCACCGGCUAACUCCGUGCCAGCAGCCGCGGUAAUACGGAGGGUGCGAGCGUUAAUCGGAAUUACUGGGCGUAAAGCGCAUGCAGGUGGUUUGUUAAGUCAGAUGUGAAAGCCCGGGGCUCAACCUCGGAAUAGCAUUUGAAACUGGCAGACUAGAGUACUGUAGAGGGGGGUAGAAUUUCAGGUGUAGCGGUGAAAUGCGUAGAGAUCUGAAGGAAUACCGGUGGCGAAGGCGGCCCCCUGGACAGAUACUGACACUCAGAUGCGAAAGCGUGGGGAGCAAACAGGAUUAGAUACCCUGGUAGUCCACGCCGUAAACGAUGUCUACUUGGAGGUUGUGGCCUUGAGCCGUGGCUUUCGGAGCUAACGCGUUAAGUAGACCGCCUGGGGAGUACGGUCGCAAGAUUAAAACUCAAAUGAAUUGACGGGGGCCCGCACAAGCGGUGGAGCAUGUGGUUUAUUCGAUGCAACGCGAAGAACCUUACCUACUCUUGACAUCAGAAACUUUC